UGGGGAAUAUUGGACAAUGGGCGCAAGCCUGAUCCAGCCAUGCCGCGUGAGUGAUGAAGGCCCUAGGGUUGUAAAGCUCUUUCACCGGUGAAGAUAAUGACGGUAACCGGAGAAGAAGCCCCGGCUAACUUCGUGCCAGCAGCCGCGGUAAUACGAAGGGGGCUAGCGUUGUUCGGAUUUACUGGGCGUAAAGCGCACGUAGGCGGACUUUUAAGUCAGGGGUGAAAUCCCGGGGCUCAACCCCGGAACUGCCUUUGAUACUGGAAGUCUUGAGUAUGGUAGAGGUGAGUGGAAUUCCGCGUGUAGAGGUGAAAUUCGUAGAUAUUCGGAGGAACACCAGUGGCGAAGGCGGCUCACUGGACCAUUACUGACGCUGAGGUGCGAAAGCGUGGGGAGCAAACAGG
rnacentral:rRNA from 1 species